UACGGAGGGGGCUAGCGUUGUUCGGAAUUACUGGGCGUAAAGCGCACGUAGGCGGCUAUUCAAGUCAGAGGUGAAAGCCCGGGGCUCAACCCCGGAACUGCCUUUGAAACUAGAUAGCUUGAAUCACGGAGAGGUGGGUGGAAUUCCGAGUGUAGAGGUGAAAUUCGUAGAUAUCGAGAGGAACACCGGUGGCGAAGGCGGCCAACUGGACGAAUACUGACGCUGAGACUCGAAAGCGUGGGGAGCAAACAGG
rnacentral:rRNA from 1 species